rnacentral:rRNA from 1 species
UACGUAGGGUGCGAGCGUUGUCCGGAAUUAUUGGGCGUAAAGAGCUUGUAGGCGGUUUGUCGCGUCUGCUGUGAAAAUCCGGGGCUCAACCCCGGACUUGCAGUGGGUACGGGCAGACUAGAGUGUGGUAGGGGAGACUGGAAUUCCUGGUGUAGCAGUGGAAUGCGCAGAUAUCAGGAGGAACACCGAUGGCGAAGGCAGGUCUCUGGGCCACUACUGACGCUGAGAAGCGAAAGCAUGGGGAGCGAACAGG